rnacentral:rRNA from 1 species
UGCCAGCCGCCGCGGUAAUACGGAGGGGGUUAGCGUUGUUCGGAAUUACUGGGCGUAAAGCGCGCGUAGGCGGACUAUUAAGUGAGAGGUGAAAUCCCAUGGCUCAACCAUGGAACUGCCUUUCAUACUGGUAGUCUUGAGUUCGAGAGAGGUGAGUGGAAUUCCAAGUGUAGAGGUGAAAUUCGUAGAUAUUUGGAGGAACACCAGUGGCGAAGGCGGCUCACUGGCUCGAUACUGACGCUGAGGUGCGAAAGUGUGGGGAGCAAACAGGAUUAGAUA